GUCCCGCGGCGCCGGAAACUGGGCGCACACACCCUCGGAUUGACGUGCGCACGCGCACCGGUUACCUUCAGGAGCGCCGAAGAAGGAAAGAAGAACACAGAGCCCGAGGCAAAGCUUAAGUGCUUACGCUUUUGUCGGGAGGUACAGACCCAGCUCUGCGAGAGCCAGGGGAAAAGGAAGAGAGGCAGGGAAGGAAUGGCAGCAAGUACAAGGUGAUGAAUGACUGCACUGGCCAUUGCUUCAUGAAGAGCCACGAAAAAACAGAGCCGGUUUCUCAGCAGGUGGCUGGCUGCUCAGUCACAAAGGACCUCUUUGGACAGGCUUUAUGGAAAUACUGUGCCUAGGACAGUCGCUCAAAGGCAGGAGGGAGAGAAAAUGCAUCUGCAAGCUCACUUUGUCUUCUUUCUUCUGCUGGUCAAAAUUUGCUGGCUGGGGCAGUUAACGCCCUCACACAUCCGAGUUGUGUCACCUGGCCCCUUUGGUAGCCACUGGGGAAGCCAGAUCUAGGCAUGUGGCCUGAUGGCUCCUGCGGUGGAACCACAUGCUCACACUCAGUCAGUCACCACUGGGAUGCCCUGGGCAGGGCAGGCUGAGUGGCUGGGAGAUAGCUGAGCCUAAGAUAUCUAAGCAAGCACCUGUGAUGUAUGCACUGCAGUGUCCAAAUGUGAAAAAGCAAGAAAGGGAGAUAGAAGCAUAUUUUUUUCUGGAGAGAAGGAGGAAACCACCAGGAGAAUACAAACAGAAAAAAGACAUGCUCAUCAUGCCCUGCAAACUCCUAUGAACUGGAACUACAGCAGCUGUUCUGCCAGGGACAGGUUCUUCUCUAAAGUUCCAGCUCUCUGGAGGGAGAAAGCCCUGACUUUGGAUGGAGUUGAGCUCUGUCGCCCAGGCUGGAGUGCAGUGGCACCAUCUCAGCUGACUGUGACCUCCGCCUCCUGGGUUCAAGUGAUUCUCCUGCAUCAGCCUCCCGAGUAGCUGGGACUACAGGUGCACACCACCAUGCCCGGCUAAUUUUUGUAUUUUUAGUAGAGACGGGGUUUUGCCAUGAUGGCCAGGUUUGGUCUCAAACUCCUAACCUCAAGUGAUCCACCCUCCUCAGCCUCCCAAAGUGCUGGGAUUACAGGCGUGAGCCACUGCGCCCCGCCUACUUGAAUUUUUUUUUUUUUUUUUUUUUUUGAGACAGAGUUUUGCUCCUGUUGCCCAGGCUGGAGUGCAACGGCAUGAUCUCGACUCACUGCAACCUCUGCCUCCUGGGUUCAAGUGAUUCUCCUGCCUCAGCCUCCCAAAUAGCUGGGAUUACAGGUGCCCACCACUGUGCCUGGCUGAUUGUAUUUUUAGUAGAGAUGGGGUUUCAUCAUGUUGGUCAGGCUGGUCUUGAACUCCAGACCUCAGGUGAUCGGACUGCCUCGGCCUCCCAAAGUGCUGGGAUUACAGGCAUGACCCACUGUGCCCGGACCUGCUUGAAUUUUUAUGAUGAGCAUGUUGGCAGAUCACGACUGCCAGCUCCGUGACAGCAAGAACCUUGUAUGACUUUUUCAUGAUGGAUGUUCAUCUGUGCCAUCUGUAAAUAUUGAAUAAAUAUUUGUGGAAUACAUGAAUCUAAAAGUGAAUGGAAUGAUAAAGAGGGAAAGGGUCAUGACAUCUACUACAGCAUUUGGCACAGACCCAGGUUUCCCUGGUACUGGUAAUUCCCAGCAGCUUUCUACAAUUCCAAAGCUGUCUGCAGUACUAUCAAGAGAUGACAUGGACUUCAAGGAUCAAACAGGGGAGAAAAAGGCUUAAAAGAAAAACAAGUCUCCAUCAAAGGUAAUAACCACAAUGAGAACUAUACAUAGCUAUGUGCUUAUAGGUCUUAGUUCACAUUCCCCUCAUUAAAAUUAUAGCUCAAGAAAUAAAGGGCUGUUUAAUGACUUGGGUAUAUAAAUAUACUUCAUUUGUAUAUUUUUUACUUGCUAAAAUCUAUCCAAAUUGGUAUUACCUCAAACCAUAAUCUUCUACUGUAUUUUAUAAUUUUACUUUAUUGCCAUGUAUUUUUCCCACUGAUGUUCACAAAUUCACAGGAAACAUCAGCCAUGUACUAAAUAAAAUAUGAAUUGAAUCGACAAAUAGAACUAUAAAUUUAAUUCAAGCACAUGUAAAAUUUAGACCAAAGAAUAAAAAUGUCUAUUAAAAAUACAGCCAAGCAUGGUGGCUCACACCUGUAAUCCCAGCACUUUGGGAGGCCGAGGUGGGUGAAUCAUCUGAGGUCAAGAGUUUGAGACCAGCUGGCCAUUGUGGUGAAACCCCAUCUCUACUAAAAUACAAAAAUUAGCUGGGUGUGAUGGUGGGCACCUGUAAUCCCACUACUUGGGAGGCUGAGGCAGGAGAAUCGCUUGAACCCAGGA
rnacentral:lncRNA from 1 species